rnacentral:rRNA from 1 species
AGAGUUUGAUCCUGGCUCAGGACGAACGCUGGCGGCGCGCCUAACACAUGCAAGUCGAACGUGAAGCUCGGAGCUUGCUCCGGGUGGAAAGUGGCGAACGGGUGAGUAACACGUGAGGAACCUGCCCCGAAGACUGGGAUAACACCGGGAAACCGGUGCUAAUACCGGAUGUCCUCACCGGACCGCAUGAUCCGGUGAGGAAAUGGAUUCCGCUUCGGGAUGGUCUCGCGGCCUAUCAGCUUGUUGGUGGGGUAACGGCCUACCAAGGCUUCGACGGGUAGCUGGUCUGAAAGGAUGUCCAGCCACACUGGGACUGAGACACGGCCCAGACUCCUACGGGAGGCAGCAGUGGGGAAUCUUGCGCAAUGGGCGAAAGCCUGACGCAGCGACGCCGCGUGCGGGAUGAAGGCCUUCGGGUUGUAAACCGCUUUCAGCAGGGACGAAAUUGACGGUACCUGCAGAAGAAGCCCCGGCCAACUACGUGCCAGCAGCCGCGGUA